CACAGAGGUGGCAAGCGUUGUUCGGAAUUACUGGGCGUAAAGGGCGCGUAGGCGGCUUGCCAAGUCAGGGGUGAAAUCCUGCAGCUUAACUGUAGAAGUGCCUUUGAUACUGGCGAGCUCGAGGGAGGUAGGGGUAUGUGGAACUUCCGGUGGAGCGGUGAAAUGCGUUGAUAUCGGAAGGAACGCCGGUGGCGAAAGCGACGUACUGGACCUCUUCUGACGCUGAGGCGCGAAAGCUAGGGGAGCAAACGGG
rnacentral:rRNA from 1 species